CGGGCGCGGUUUGGGUGGCGCGGUUGGAGAUGCCCUCAUCUCCCCACCUCCGCCUUCGAAGAACAGCGCCGCUACCUGGCAUCUCGAUCCCCUUCCGACCUGAGCGGCGACAGGCAAAAUCGACGGGGCUCAUGCAGCGGUGGCCCGGACCUGGAGGCAGCUGCAGCAAAAUCGAAGGCCUGGCUCGGAGGCAGCCCGGACCUGGGCGGCGGGGUAGCAGAAAUCAAGGGCCGCGGGCCUAAUCGCGCCCAGGAAUACCCCUAAGACUAUGGAAUCUCUGGCGCCGGGGCGGACGGUGCCGCCGACGCCAUCGAUCAUGAAGUCUCCACCACUGCCCUUGAUCCCCUUCGAGAUGCCACCUCGCCUGACCAACAUACCCGUGUCGCGGCUGCCGUCUCGCUCGACGUGUUUCUCGAUUGUGCCCGUCGCCGCCCACGCUGAUUAAAAUGCACUAGAUCAUCGCCUAGAUGCCGUACAGGUUCUUCGUUCUCUACAGGUUUCUGUUGGCACCGUAUAAAUUUGCACUUUUUUUUCAUAUGUGGUUGCAGCUUGAUGUAUGUUGCCACUGGAUGUUAUACUUACAGCCUGAAAGGCUGCCGUAGUAAGGUAAGCCUGGUCGUUGUAGUAGCAAAGGACUUGAACCAACUUCUAUUCUUCCCUAAUUCAUCUAUGUUCCUCCAAACAUCCAUUCAUGCUACUGUAAUUUCUUUAAAGUUCUACUCUAUCUCGUAGAUUAGUUGUGUAGAAAUAAUAAUAUAGAUAAUACAGAAGUGAGCUUGAAGUUCAGAACCAAUCUGUGUAGAAAUAAACUGCAAAGAAUACCAUAAGCAUCAUAUUUAGUUGAAUUAGUUUUAACAUAAUUUAUGUGCUCUGGACAGAACAGAAUAGGUCGUAUACUCAGAUGAUAAGAGCCAGAAGGAGAUUGUCGAGCUGCUUGGCUUGUGAGUUGUGUCUGCUCCUCCAAGAUCGGACCCUGUCUCAGCGCAAUGACAGGACAGGAUGUCUCCCUGGUGAGAAUCGACACUCUGUUCCUUUCAGUUUAGAACCGUGGCAUGCUCGUAGGAUUUCGUGUGAUAUUUGCCAUGUCAGUCAGUAUAGCAAGGACAACACCGAAGAUCUUGGAAUUUUGAUUUCAGGUUUACGUUAUUGAGGCAAUAUUAGAACUCCCAUCAUUUGUCAAGUUUGAUGAUGCCGCUGUUACAGAAAUUUAUUAGCAUGCAGAAGUAUAAUUGGUUUUGCAGAGGAAAUAUGAUUGUAAAGGUAUAUUUCUGGACUGCAUAGAUUGCACUACAGAGCACAUAAAAAUAUCUGCAUUGUCGACCCUCUUCAGAAGACGUGAUUACAUAGUUUACCACAGUGAGGAAGCAGGGGAUGUUCAACUUCCUUUAUUACCGCAGAAUCAUGACAGAGCUAUAUUAACACGAUACAUAUUCUCAUUAAGUGUUCAAAUUGAUGACGAAUUUUAUUAUCUUAUCUGAAGCUACUGAUAUUUUUUUCAUUCAUGUUCUGUAAAUUUUAUGAAGCUACUAAAUAUUCCCUUGUACUGAAAUUUGAUUUUCUACAUAAUCUGUUUUGAAGAAACUCAGUUUUCCUGUACUUACUAAACUUUACCUUGUUGCUGAAAUUUCAUGGGAAGGAGGAGCUCAAGGGAGCAGACAAAACAAGGAGAAAGGAGCUAGAAAGUAGAACUGUAGAAGUUAUCGUGAUAACCUGCAAGCUUUAGUGAACUCCUAAUUCCUAACCACCAUGUGUUUGAUAAUUAAACCAGUAUAGUUUUCUUUUGAUUAAGUAGUUCGACAUAUAGCACCUAGCUGCACAGGACCGUCUGCAAUGGAUUUGAGAUAUCGCUGCACCGGAGUACCAGUUAAUGAAAUCGAUUAUUUUGUAAGUUUCCUCACUGUUUCUAUAUGGGUGACUAGCAUAUAUAUUUUCUAUUCCAACUUGCAGGAAGUGAGAACAUACUACUUAAUGAAAAACUAUUUGUACGUAUACGAAAUUGUUAAUGUAAAAGGAGAGUUGUAAUAUUGCCUUCCUUAAGUUUAGAAGAUUACUCAUUUGAUUGCUUUGACAACUAUCUGUGCCUUCGGUACAAAAUAAGUAUGAGAAUCAGCAGUGGCAACAAUGAUCAAGGCCAUGGGAAGGAACCAUAACCCUACCAUUUAGAUUUCAUUUAAAUCUAUUUUCCAGUCUUUUCUCUUGAUUCUGUUUGUUUUCUGAGCUCAAAUGAUUAUUGGUGGAUUAGACUAUCUUGCUACGACUUAACACUGCAACGUGGACCUGAGUAUGUAGAGAAACAAAAGUUUCUUAACCUCGCCUCUAAAGAAGCACAAUGAUCAUGCUACUGUUGGGAUUUCACAAGUAAAACUAAAAAGAAAUGCUCCAACAACACUAGCCUUUUACAAAAAAAGUACUACUCAUUUUUCAUAGUGGUGAUCUUUGUGGAUUCUUUGUUAAUAGGGUCGUUUAGCACAGUGAUAAUUCUCAUGUGCAUAUUCUUCUCUUCAAGACGUAUAUUUAACAUAGCUUUGAAUUUUGCAGUUAUUAGCCACUGAUACAUGUUCAUCAUGUCAAGCUACCUAAUUACAUUCACCAGGAUGCAGAUGACUUACCAAGUGGCCAUGGAAGAGGAUGUGGCCGCCGGGGAUGGGCAGGGGAAGAGGAAAAUCUAAAAUCUUAUCUCAACAGUAAGAAGCCAGUUCUUGCACUUCCAUGUGGAAUGAGGAGGUCUCCAACCACUCCCUACUCAUGAUGGAGGCUCGCGUCCGCCAUCCGGUAAAAGAUAUGAUCUAGCAGCUGGACAUGCACAUCCCCACCACUGGACAGAUGCCGUAUGAGCUGGUGUAGAUGUGGAAAAAGCUACUUCUGGGUUGAAAAAGUUAUAUUAGUACUAUUAGCUCUUGUGAUUGACAUGCAGUGGACUUAUCAGAUCAUGUAAGUUGUGUGUGUUGUACUGAAGUGGUAAUAGGCAAGUUAAAUUAAGUUUUGUCAAUGUGUCACUUUUCUCAA